rnacentral:rRNA from 1 species
UACGGGGGGAGCAAGCGUUGUUCGGAUUUACUGGGCGUAAAGGGCGCGUAGGCGGUCGUGACAAGUCACUUGUGAAAUCUCCGGGCUUAACUCGGAACGGUCAAGUGAUACUGUCGGACUAGAGUACAGAAGGGGCAACUGGAAUUCUCGGUGUAGCGGUGAAAUGCGUAGAUAUCGAGAGGAACACCUGCGGCGAAGGCGGGUUGCUGGGCUGAUACUGACGCUGAGGCGCGAAAGCCAGGGGAUCAAACGGG